rnacentral:rRNA from 1 species
GAUGAACGCUGGCGGCGUGCCUAAUACAUGCAAGUCGAGCGAACAGACGAGGAGCUUGCUCCUCUGACGUUAGCGGCGGACGGGUGAGUAACACGUGGAUAACCUACCUAUAAGACUGGGAUAACUUCGGGAAACCGGAGCUAAUACCGGAUAACAUGUUGAACCGCAUGGUUCAACAGUGAAAGACGGUCUUGCUGUCACUUAUAGAUGGAUCCGCGCCGCAUUAGCUAGUUGGUAAGGUAACGGCUUACCAAGGCAACGAUGCGUAGCCGACCUGAGAGGGUGAUCGGCCACACUGGAACUGAGACACGGUCCAGACUCCUACGGGAGGCAGCAGUAGGGAAUCUUCCGCAAUGGGCGAAAGCCUGACGGAGCAACGCCGCGUGAGUGAAGAAGGUCUUCGGAUCGUAAAACUCUGUUAUUAGGGAAGAAAAAAUGUGUAAGUAACUAUGCACGUUUUGACGGUACCUAAUCAGAAAGCCACGGCUAACUACGUG